AGCGGGUGUUGACAGCCAGCAGCCCCAGCUGGUUGGUCAGGUUGCGCAGGUUCCUGGCCAGGGGGUCCUCGCUGCCGUACACCAUGCUGGCGUCCACGAAGGAGACCACAUCUUGACUAAGGAACAUGAGACAACACUGCCCCCGAACAUCAUCUCCAUGUGUGCAUGGAUCCUGUCACCUGCUGGGAAGGAGCCCAGGGCCUCUUCAAAAGGGCAGACCAUCCUUUCAGUCUUUUUCUGACUGGGACUUGCUACUUCCAGUUCCUGAAAUCCAGAUGCCCACCUCUAUUUCAAGCAAAGCCAAAUUAACAUGGGCUGCAGUCACCAUCAACCCAACCCGACCAUGGAGAUGCUCCAGACAUGAAAAUGAAAUUGUUGAAGAACAAAAUUAGAACUGUGGAAAGCUCUGGCUUUCCAGGAGGCUGACUCUGGGGAGCGGACACAGCAGGAUAGGAGGUGCUUACAAGGACCCCUCUUCCACAUCACACUGCCUUCCUCAGCUUGGCUACCGUCUUGUAGCAACUAUGAGGCAGAAGAACUGUUCCUCCAGGCCAGUGGCAGUUUGGGGGAGGGGUUUUAAACAGGGGUGCAGGACCCUGGCCAGGUCAGGGAGUGGAACCAGCUUUGCCCUGAGGUCCAGAGUCCUUAUGACUGAGGGGAAGUUCUUGCCUAGAUGGGAGUAAGCAGAGGAGAUUCUCUAGUGGAUAAGGUCCCCCAGUUGAGUGUAGGGAAGAGACAGAGAGGAUGAAUUCUGUCAUCUUCCCUACAACUCCCUCAUCUUCCUUUUAUAUAUCCACCACAAAUUCAACAAGAAGGGCACAUGUCACCCAGCUUUCAACCUCUUCCCUUCUUGUAACUGAGUGGAAUUUAUCCCAGGAAAGCAAGGAGGAUUAAC